rnacentral:miRNA from 1 species
UCCCUUCCGGUCGAUGAGGUAAAACACCCUCAUCGACCGGAAGGAAUCCCUUCCGGUCGAUGAGGUUGUUGUACCUCAUCGGCCGGAAGGGA